rfam:Edhazardia aedis TSNM 41457 supercont1.12, whole genome shotgun sequence.
UGAAAGGUUUUUCUUAAAACUAAAAAUAUUUAAACAAACACAAUAU